rnacentral:tRNA from 1 species
GCGGCAAUGGUUUAGCGAAGCAGAAUGUCUGAUUCCCCCCAGUCAGAGGAUGUGGAUUUGAUUCCCGCUUGCCGUA